GACGAACGCUGGCGGCGUGCCUAACACAUGCAAGUCGAGCGGGGACAGUUGGAAGCUUGCUUUUUAAGCUUAGUGGCGAACGGGUGAGUAACGCGUGAGUAACCUGCCCUGGAGUGGGGGACAACAGUUGGAAACGACUGCUAAUACCGCAUAAGCCCACGGUACCGCAUGGCACUGAGGGAAAAGGAUUUAUUCGCUUUAGGAUGGACUCGCGUCCAAUUAGCUAGUUGGUGAGGUAAUGGCCCACCAAGGCGACGAUUGGUAGCCGGACUGAGAGGUUGAACGGCCACAUUGGGACUGAGACACGGCCCAGACUCCUACGGGAGGCAGCAGUGGGGGAUAUUGCACAAUGGGGGAAACCCUGAUGCAGCGACGCCGCGUGGAGGAAGAAGGUUUUCGGAUUGUAAACUCCUGUCGUUAGGGACGAUAAUGACGGUACCUAACAAGAAAGCACCGGCUAACACGUG
rnacentral:rRNA from 1 species